CUUUUUCUUCUCUCGCUUUUAUCCAGCUCUGAAAUCGGAGGAAGAAAAUUCCGUUCCGUUUGUCCCCCGUGACACCGAUCAUGGCAAAAAUACACGAAAUACCGUGCGUACACGUAGACUGCACUUGUCGAUGUGACAAUUUUCGUCGAAUAUACUCGUGGCAAACUGUGUUGCACUUGCGUGAAUUUAGUCGAAAUGGUUUGGUUUUUUAAGAGCGAACUCUUAAGGAACGUUUUGUAAAUGUUAUUCGACGAAAGUAGAGUUGUGUUGAUCGAAGAGAAUAGCUUGUAGAAAUGAUCACGGGUAGAAUUUAGUACGAAACACUUUCAAUGAUUGAUCUACACAUGAUCGAUUCAAUUUCGAGAUAUAUUGAAGAAAAAAUAUACUUGGUAGAAGAAAUAUAACAAAAUCGUUACAUUAAUAUUUUCGCCAGUUUCCAAUUUUUUAAAUCUUAUCGUUAAACAUGAUCUUAUAAAUCUUAUAAAGCAAAAAUGAGAUACUGAUUUUCUUCUAUUUUUAUCACAUUGAGAUUAUAGAAUUACUAGAAAUAAGUAAAAAAAAAAAAAACAGAAAGAAGUUGUAGAACUUCGUAAUCUAAAAAUGAACUCUUUUAGCUUUUAAAAAAAUAUAACGAAAGACAAACAACCUUAAGAAUACCCCCUAAUAAUUAUUGUAAAUUGAAAACAGAAAGUAUAAAGAAAACAUCUUUAAAUCUCAAUGGCCUGUAACACACUGUUAAACAGUUAACAUUCGCAUAAUCUUCUUAAAUGAACUUUCUAUUAAGUACUCUUGUAAACCCAACAGUGUAAACCCUCGAGGGAAUCUCUUUACGAGUCUCUUGACCGUGUCUCGAAUCAUCUCUCUCUCUUUCUUUAUGUAUAUACUUCUACCAAAUAUACACGCGUGCUAUGUCAGAAAAUGUUUCACAUCGUGGAAAAUGAUGUGACGAACGGGUGCAUAUAUACUUUUCACACAUCAUCCCCACUCAGAAAGCACGUGUAAUCUAUGAAUCCUGUUCAACAUCCCUGUUCAUAUAUACAUAUACACACAUAGAGUUGUUCUUGCAUAAAUUUUCAUUGUCACACGCAUCGUCUCCAUGAUUUACAUCUCUGUCUCUGGACACGACGACAUCGUAAUCCAUCAAUCUCGAUCUGUUCGCCUAAACGUUACUUUCGAUGUUAUUGUCUCUUCAGUUCCUUUCUUCCAUUUUAUCAUUCCACGGAAAUGGCUCCCCCUGUUCUCGACAAUUUGAGAUGGAGAAAAAGACCGACAAUGGGAAUCGACAAGUUCGCAGAAUUAUUUGGUCGAGAAGAAUUUUGGUCCAAGAUUUGGCUGUCGAGGAUUCAGAUUCUCGAGGCGAGAAAAUCGCAGAGGAGGAGGAGGGAGAGGGGAAGGAGCGAUUCCGUGGAGUUUAUCGAGUUGGCCAAGAAAAGUUCUUGGUUCUUCUCGAGAGCAAUCCCUUCUCACGCUCCUCUUGUGUCUUCCUUCUUUGGAUUAUCCCAACCCUCUCAUUGAAAGAAUGCAAAUGUUGUGAUUCAGGAUCGAAGGGACGGAAGUUAUUCGUAUAUGGAUUUCGAUAUGGAGAAAUGGUAAUUCGUAAGUCGAUUUGCAUGCCCUCGCUACGUGCCAGCGAUACGAGAUCGUAAUUUGAAUUUGUUGAACAUCGCACGGAUAAGAAUUUUGCUAAAAACAAGCAUUCAAAAUAUUCGAAUGAUAUCUAUAGAUUUAAUAUUAUUAUUUGUGAUUUUUCGUAUAAAAAAGAAAAAUUUUAUCAUCGAAACCCGGUCGGGAAAUAGAGGAAACCAUGCAAUUAAAAUCCUUUUUUGUUUCGUCUCAAUAUCUCGAUCGAUUGUCAAGAUAUGACGAUUCAAAGUCGUAGCGCAGAGAUCAUGAAUGGGUCCGCGACCCAGUGACCUAUAUCUUUUCCUGGAAGUGUUUACAUUCUUCCAAGAAUCACGUGUGUCGCUUUGUCUAGACUUUGGGAUAGGUCAGUGAGACGAGGUGCCGAGCGAGAAAGCCGAAUAAGCAACAAAGACGGAGAUGGUAAACUAUUAAAAAUUACCUUUUUCUUUGCACGACGAUAUCUCGAGAACCGGAAGUCGUAUCGAAAUAAUUCAAAAAGCGUUUCAAAGGACAAGAUUCCGCGUUUCUAACGAUCCUUCACUCGUUGUUUAAAAUUCAUUAUCUUCGGAGUUAUAGCGAUUCAAAUUUUGUCUAAUUUUAAUAGAGUUUGAUAGAGUGAAGAUAAAUUGAAAUUUAUCUUUUCUUUACACGAGGAUAUCUCGGGAACCGAAAGUUGUAUCGGGAUAAAAGAAGAAGCGUUUUAAAGAGCAAACUUCGACGUUUCUAAUAGUCUUUCGUUCUUUAAUCGAAAAUUAUUAUCUUCGGAAUUAGAGCGGUUUAAAUUUUUCCUGAUUUUAAUAGAAUUACGAUUACUACUUAAUAGAAUUGCUGUACAACAUUUACGUAACAUUUUGUAUUCAAUAUCGAGUUAUUUUAUCAUGGAAAUUUUAUUACAUCGUGGCCAAAGAUUCAAGGUAAAGAUGAAUUAUUAAUUUUAUUCAUUUGGAAAGUUCAAUUACUCUGGAUCGUUGUAAUUAAAGAUAUAUUAGGACUCGUUAUAAGCAUCCUAUGUAUAGUCAUCAUUUCCAAUAAGCUCGUGUAAAUCCUAUUAUUAUGCUAAUUAUAAUUGUAUAAUAUUCUUGAAUGUAUUUGCUAGAUUAUCUUAACGAAUUUUCGCAAAUUCAACAAUGAAGAUUCAUAUCAGACGAGUCUCCCAAUCAUUAAAUUCCAUCUAUCAUAGAGAACACGUAGAUAGCUAAGACAAAGUCAGAAAUUGGCCAAUUUUUUACCCGAUUACCAAUA